rnacentral:rRNA from 1 species
AUUGAACGCUGGCGGAAUGCUUUACACAUGCAAGUCGAACGGCAGCACGGACUUCGGUCUGGUGGCGAGUGGCGAACGGGUGAGUAACAUAUCGGAACGUAUCCAAUAAUGGGGGAUAACUAAUCGAAAGGUUGGCUAAUACCGCAUACGCCCUACGGGGGAAAGCUAGGGACCUUCGGGCCUGGCGUUAAUGGAGCGGCCGAUAUCUGAUUAGCUAGUUGGUGGGGUAAAGGCGCACCAAGGCGACGAUCAGUAGCUGGUCUGAGAGGACGACCAGCAGCACUGGAACUGAGACACGGUCCAGACUCCGACGGGAGGCAGCAGUGGGGAAUUUUGGACAAUGGGCGCAAGCCUGAUCCAGCCAUUCCGCGUGAGUGAAGAAGGCCUUCGGGUUGUAAAGCUCUUUCGCAAGGGAAGAAAACUUAGCCUCUAACAUAGGCUGAGGUUGACGGUACCUUGAUAAGAAGCACCGGCUAACUACGUGCCAGCAGCCGCCGCCG